UGCAACAAAAGAAAGAGAGACCAACUUAAAAUAUUUUGCCCAUCAUCGUGGAUUUGUACUUUGAUGACUAUAGAGCUACACGUUCUUCAACACAAGACUUACUUGCAUAGUCUUUUCUUGCUGCAUCCAUCAAGGUGAAUACACUAUUAGUGCUACGAGCUGAGUUACUACAUCUAGAUGAUGUCAAUGUCCGUUUUAGAUUAAAUUGCAACGUAUUUCACAAGAAGAAGAUGCAAUAUAGAUGUCCUAUGUGGUUAACGCUCACCACAACCACAACCUAGCUGCUAAUGCAAUAGCCUAUCUAUCUGAAAGAACCUUGUCAAUCAACAAAGUUAAAUGGUUUGAAACUUGUUUAUUGUUGGUGCAUCUCUUUAGGUCAUCCAUGCUAGAUUGAUGCAGUUGAACUCCAAUUGCAGAUGUAUCUAAAGGAACAUAUACAACCUUUGAGAUAUCUUGAGAUGAAAGAAACUUCACAGCCAUACUCCUUUGGAAGCAUCCUUGGAUGAGUUAGAAAGCAAUAUCGUCUUUUAUACAAAGAAAUUGGAUAGCAAUAGGUUGCUUUUUCACUUUUUCUUUGUAUAUUCCAAGGCAGUUGAAUUUGCAAGUUGACAUGGCUAUGCACUCAAUGUCAUCUUAUUAUAUAAUAAGAAUUGCUCAAUAUAUAAGAAGAAUUGCUUUUAAAUGCCAUUACUACAUGUUGCUACUAGUGUAGGUACAAAUCACACUUUUUUGCUAUGCUUUUGCUUCAUGCAAGUAAAGA
rnacentral:lncRNA from 1 species